rnacentral:rRNA from 1 species
UACGUAGGGGGCAAGCGUUGUUCGGAUUUACUGGGCGUAAAGGGCGCGUAGGCGGCGUGACAAGUCACUUGUGAAAUCUCCGGGCUUAACCCGGAACUGCCAAGUGAUACUGUUGUGCUAGAGUGCAGAAAGGGCAAUCGGAAUUCUUGGUGUAGCGGUGAAAUGCGUAGAUAUCAAGAGGAACACCUGAGGCGAAGGCGGGUUGCUAGGCUGACACUGACGCUGAUGCGCGAAAGCUAGGGGAGCGAACGGG